GACGAACGCUGGCGGCGUGCUUAACACAUGCAAGUCGAACGAAGAGCGAUGGAAGCUUGCUUCUAUCAAUCUUAGUGGCGAACGGGUGAGUAACGCGUAAUCAACCUGCCCUUCAGAGGGGGACAACAGUUGGAAACGACUGCUAAUACCGCAUACGAUCUAAACUCGGCAUCGAGGAUAGAUGAAAGGUGGCCUCUACAUGUAAGCUAUCACUGAAGGAGGGGAUUGCGUCUGAUUAGCUAGUUGGAGGGGUAACGGCCCACCAAGGCGAUGAUCAGUAGCCGGUCUGAGAGGAUGAACGGCCACAUUGGGACUGAGACACGGCCCAGACUCCUACGGGAGGCAGCAGUGGGGAAUCUUCCGCAAUGGACGAAAGUCUGACGGAGCAACGCCGCGUGAGUGAUGACGGCCUUCGGGUUGUAAAGCUCUGUUAAUCGGGACGAAAGGCCUUCUUGCGAAUAGUGAGAAGGAUUGACGGUACCGGAAUAGAAAGCCCGGU
rnacentral:rRNA from 1 species